rnacentral:rRNA from 1 species
CUACGGGGGGCAGCAGUGGGGAAUAUUGCACAAUGGGGGAAACCCUGAUGCAGCGACGCCGCGUGGGCGAGGAAGUACCUCGGUAUGUAAAGCCCUAUCAGCAGGGAAGAAACAGGACAGUACCUGACUAAGAAGCCCCGGCUAACUACGUGCCAGCAGCCGCGGUAAUACGUAGGGGGCAAGCGUUAUCCGGAUUUACUGGGUGUAAAGGGAGCGUAGACGGCAGCGCAAGUCUGGAGUGAAAUGCCGGGGCCCAACCCCGGAACUGCUCUGGAAACUGUGAAGCUGGAGUGCAGGAGAGGGAA